GACGAACGCUGGCGGCGUGCUUAACACAUGCAAGUCGAACGGAAAGGCCCUGCUUUUGUGGGGUGCUCGAGUGGCGAACGGGUGAGUAACACGUGAGUAACCUGCCCUUGACUUUGGGAUAACUUCAGGAAACUGGGGCUAAUACCGGAUAGGAGCUCCUGCUGCAUGGUGGGGGUUGGAAAGUUUCGGCGGUUGGGGAUGGACUCGCGGCUUAUCAGCUUGUUGGUGGGGUAGUGGCUUACCAAGGCUUUGACGGGUAGCCGGCCUGAGAGGGUGACCGGCCACAUUGGGACUGAGAUACGGCCCAGACUCCUACGGGAGGCAGCAGUGGGAAAUAUUGCACGAUGGGCGGAAGCCUGAUGCAGCAACGCCGCGUGCGGGAUGACGGCCUUCGGGUUGUAAACCGCUUUCGCCUGUGACGAAGCGUGAGUGACGGUAAUGGGUAAAGAAGCACCGGCUAACUACGUG
rnacentral:rRNA from 1 species